GAUGAACGCUAGCUACAGGCUUAACACAUGCAAGUCGAGGGGAAACGACAUCGAAAGCUUGCUUUUGAUGGGCGUCGACCGGCGCACGGGUGAGUAACGCGUAUCCAACCUGCCCAUCACUUGGGAAUAACCUUGCGAAAGUAAGACUAAUACCCAAUGAUAUCCCACGAAGGCAUCGGAAUGGGAUUAAAGAUUUAUCGGUGAUGGAUGGGGAUGCGUCUGAUUAGCUUGUUGGCGGGGUAACGGCCCACCAAGGCAACGAUCAGUAGGGGUUCUGAGAGGAAGGUCCCCCACAGUGGAACUGAGACACGGUCCAAACUCCUACGGGAGGCAGCAGUGAGGAAUAUUGGUCAAUGGGCGAGAGCCUGAACCAGCCAAGUAGCGUGCAGGAAGACGGCCCUAUGGGUUGUAAACUGCUUUUAUAAGGGAAUAAAGUGGGUCACGUGUGACUUUUUGCAUGUACCUUAUGAAUAAGGACCGGCUAAUUCCGUG
rnacentral:rRNA from 1 species